CACUAAAAUCUUUGCAAAAUAUUUUAAUUCUCUUAAGUGGACACAAGAUAGGAAAUAACCCCUUAAACUUGUCGAACUUCUCCUAUUUAUAAGUCUCUUUUCGAUGAAUUUUCCUAUGUCCGAAUGAUGGCUUUUGUCCAGUGGUGAGACUCAGCCAAUAUAAAAAUGCCACGUGUUACUGCCACCUCUUAUCCUGACCCAGUUGGACAGCAAGGUCAAAUUAGCUCACUAGCAUUCUUACACAAGGAUGACGUCAAUUACUUCAUAGUGAAGGAAGAUCACAUCGCCUCCCAUUUCAUCACGUGGCUCUUGCUUAUCGCAUAAUUAGAUCGACUUUCAUAGUUUGCUUCACAGCACCUCCAACCACCAUCCUUCAGGAUCGGAGUAAUGAUUAACAUGGACAGUCAAGGGCAUUUGUAUUUCACAGUCAGAGGUGAAAUUCUUAGAUUUAUGAAAGACAAACAACUGCGAAAGAAUUUUCCAAUGAUGUUUUCAUUAAUCAAGAACGAAAGUUGGGGCUUGAAGACAAUGAGAUACCGUUCUAGUCUCAACCAUAAACAAUGCCGACUAGGGGUUAGUGGAUGUUGCUAUAAGGACUCUGCCAGCACCUUAUGAGAAAUCAAAGUCUUUGGGUUCCGAGGGGAGUAUGGUCGCAAGGCUGAAACUUAAAGAAAUUGAUGGAAGGGCACCACUAGAAGUAGAGCCUGCAGCUUAAUUUGAUUUAACACGAGGAAACUUACUAGAUCCAGACAUAGUAAGGAUCGACAAACCGAGAGCUCUUUCUUGAUUCUAUAGGUGGUGGUGCAUGACCGUUCUUAGUUGGUAGAGCAAUUUUUCUGGUUAAUUCCGUUAACGAACGAGACCUCAGCCUGCUAACUAGCUAUGGUUAAUUCCGUCAUCUGCUCACGUUGAUUAUGUCCCUGCCCUUUGUACACACCGCCGUCACUCCUAUCGAUUGAAUGGUCUGAUGAAGUGUUCGGAUCGCGGUGAGGUGGGUGGAUCGUUGCUCGCAACGUUGCGAGAAGUCCAUUGUACCUUAUCAUUUAGAGGAAGAAGAAGUCGUAACAAGGUUUUCGUAGGUGAACCUGCAGAAGG
rnacentral:ncRNA from 1 species